rnacentral:rRNA from 1 species
CGGGUGAGUAACGCGUGAGGAACCUGCCUCAAAGAGGGGACGAACAGUUGGAAACGACUGCUAAUACCGCAUAAGCCCACGGCUCGGCAUCGAGCAGAGGGAAAAGGAGCAAUCCGCUUUGAGAUGGCCUCGCGUCCGAUUAGCUAGUUGGUGAGGUAAUGGCCCACCAAGGCGACGAUCGGUAGCCGGACUGAGAGGUUGAACGGCCACAUUGGGACUGAGACACGGCCCAG